GCCUUCUUUUCUUACAACUUCCCUCUUUUUCUUCUAAAAUAAAUAUUGCCCACCGAAAUCCCUUACCUCGUUCCUAACGCCAAUGGAAAAUACUAACCCUCACCAGUCGGCGCCGGAGGCCAAUGCAGCGGCGACGGAGGCGAAGGCAGCUGCAAAGGCGGAUUUAAUGGCUGAGGAUGCAGCGGCGGAGGCGGAGUUAACGGCUGUGGAGGUGAAUGCUGUGCCAAAGGAGGAUUUAAUGGCGGAGGAUUUUGCGGUGGAGGUGGAGUUCACGUCUGAGGAUUUAGAGGCGGCAGCGGCGGCACAGGCGGCAGCGGAUGCAAUGGUGGAGAUGAAUGCAGCGGCGGUGGCGGCUGCGGCAGUUGGUGGGUACCCAUACAAUCAUCAACUGGCUCAGAAACAGCAGCUAGAAAUGUUUUGGCACUUCAAGCGCCACGAGAUUGAGCAUUCUACUAAUCUGAGGAACCACCAACUUCCGCUUGCCCGAAUUAGGAAAAUUGCCAAAGAUACCCCGAAUGUCAAGAAGAUUUCAGCGGAAGUGCCCAUUUUGUUCUCAAAAGCGUGUGAACUGUUUAUUCAGGAAUUCACCCUGCGUUCAUGGUUUCACGCAGAUGAGAACAAUCGCUACAGUAUACAAGGAAAUGACGUUGCUGCUGCCAUUAGGCGGACUGAUCAUUUUGAUUUCCUUGCUCAUGUUCCUACGGAUGAGAUCAUGGGAGAAGCUACUGCUGCUGCUACUGUUACUGGCGUUGUGGGCUCCACAUCAAGCGGUGUUCCGGACUAUAAUCCACCAAUGGGCCAGCCUGGUCCAUCUGAAGUGACAAUGGGAAGGGCUUCUGUGCCUUUGGUUCAUCCGUCUGCUUAUUUUCAGCCUCAGUCAUGGCAGCCUACGCCAUCACUGCCGCAGGUGUGGCAGCCUCAGCCACCACAGUCUCAGGCGUGGCCAUCAUCCUCGUCAGCGUUGCAGCCUCAGCCAUUACUGCAGUGGUGGCAGCCUCCGCCACCGCAGUUUCAGGCGUGGCAGCUUCCGCCAUCAUUCUCUCAGGCGUGGCAACCUCAGCCACCACAGUCCCUGGCGUGGCCAUCCUCGUCGGCGGCAUGGCAGCCUCAGCCAUUACCGUCGCCAUCAUCCUCGCAAGGGUGGCAGCUUCCACCACCGCAGUCCCAGGCAUGGCAGCUUCUGCCAUCAUCCUCCCAGGCGUGGCAGCUUCAGCCAUCAUCUUCCCAGGCGUGGCAGCUUCAGCCAUCAUCAUCUCAGGAGGGGCAGCCUCAGCCGCCACCAUCCCAAGAGUGCCAGUGGGUUUGGCAGCCUGUUGAGGAUAAUCCUGAUAAUCCCUCUGGUGAUGGAGGUAACCCUGAUGGCCACAGGACUGAUAUAUAGGAGGGUUUGUGAUGUUGACCUAAAAGUGUUUUUCCUGAACAAUUGAAGAAUAUCAAGGAUUUAUUGAGCGGAGUUGAAGAUCAUGUUCGCUGCUGAUCAAAUCUUAGUGGCACAAUGCAGGCAAUUAAUUACUAAUGCUACAGGGUUUGAAGAGUCAAAGACAGUUCUUCUCCAUAGUAUUUAAGACGCUCAAUUCCUUCUCCCAUAAGGUCGAGUGGAUGAAAGGGGCUAGAUGUGUUAUCCAAAUUUUCCCCAGAAAGGGGGAUGUUUGGGCUCGGCAUUGAUCUCCUAAAUAUCAUAAAACAAGUCCGGGUGAUAUGAUACACAACUAUGAUAUGGGUUGAAGUGCUUGGCGACUCAUUGAGAACUAAGGUUUAACAGUUGCUCCAUUAGUUGAAGUAGCUGACUUCAUGUCAGUAUUCCGUCGACAUCUGGACCCUAAUUAUCUUUUCCAUAUUCCAAGGGAAGAGAUGUUUCGUUUCUCUUAUCAGGUCCCUUCAUAUUUGCUCACAGGCCAAGAAGCUCCAAAUGCUCCCACUAGUUACUGGGAUUCGGACCCUGCAGGAGUAAAAAGGGCAGCCCGGUGCAUUAAUGCUACCACCAUGCGCGGUGUCCGGGGAAGGACCCUGCACGAGUAAUAAUGUUAAAUUGGGCUGAUCUGAUCCGUCGGUGAUGCUCGGAUCCUGAAGGAGUAAUAAUGUUAAACUGGGAUGCUCUGAUCUGUUGGCGCUGCUACUUUGACUCUUUCCCUUGUUUGUCGGUUUUCGAGACAUAUUUGGCUGUGGAACAAGGAUUGGAUAUUUGUUUAUUUACAAUAUGUGAUCAUCUAAUUAAUGAGUCUGAGAAGCUUACCUUUUGUUAAUUUCAGGUUAUGUUAUAGCUUGUCAGCUUGAGGUUGGAUUCGAUAUGCAAAUGAUAUAUGCUAGCACAGAUGACACGGUAUUAUUGGGGGUCUAAGAGUUGUUAUGCUGUUGUAAAGUCCUGUAAAUUUAUAAGCCAAAUUAUUUUACUUACGUGAUUAAUGAAGUGAUUAGAAGGCUAUAAAAGUGUUAAGGAGUGGAACAAUGGGACAAGUUUAGUAAAAUAUUGGUAUAAACACAAUUGUAGAGGUCUUUUGGAGAGUCUUUAAAAAGGGAAUAGAAACAAACAUCUUUUUUGUCAUUUUGGGGGAAAAGCAGUACUCAAUAUGGUCUCUUGCUAAGCAACAAACAGAAGUUGUUGUACUCUCCACACAGUUGAAGCACUUCAGUUGUGAAAUGCGGGUGAGUAUAGAUGGUGAUUCUGAGUAUAUUUCAUUCCCUUAGUACAAGUAUUAACAUCCAAAUACUUUGGGUUUCAUAUAUUUUUCUAGAAUUGCUCAAGAACACCUACGAGGAAGAAUAUCUAGAGUUUCUUCAAAAGGUAAUUUCUAGUCUUCUUCUUCAACUAUGAUGAGGAUAUGAGUAUUGUGAAGGUAUUUAGAAGUUGAAACACCAUGUCAAGUGUGGAUUAAGCAAACUCUUGAAAUAGUAGCAUUUGGGAAGAAAAUACUGAAUAGUUAAUUACAGCCAGGAUAUGAGUUAAAUAAUUAUUCUGAUGAGCUCAAGAGUACUAUUUAUUGAAUUCCUAAACCCAAUUUAUCUAAGGAAUGAAAAUUUGGAUCGAAUGGAAGCUUGUAGCCACUGUAUGGAUUUGAAUUGAGUUGAACUUGAUUCCCCUGAACAGGAAUUAAUGGAAAUUGGCUGUAAUUGUGUAGAUUGAGUUGAAUUGGACUCAUUGCGCAGUUUUGAGCUUGUUUGGAAAGCUAAGUGAGGUAAGUUAAGAUGUUCCUUCCCUUAAGGAUUAAUUGACGAGUUCCAUUAAUUCUAAAGUUCGCUAAAGUUUGCUUUAAUGUUUAUUUGGAUUUGCUGGAGUAUUAAACCUUACCAUCCAUGCUUUUAACAUUAUAAAAUAUUUUUUGCUAUCCUAUGGUAUCAUGUAUGCUUACAUUAUUAGUCAUUUUAUGACAUUUAUCCGAUCAAAGCACUUUAAACCAAUUUUUUCCUCUUGGUUUGAAUCAAAUGGUUGCAGGAAAUGUUGAAACUCAUUGUCUUUUGAUUUCCAAACUUAUCAAAAUGUUUUCAGAAGUUAUUGUUUUAUUGAAGACAAAGGAACUUUAUUGGUUUCAAAGUAUGGAAUUGAGCUAUGGGCCUUAACAUCCAACUAUUGAAAAUGUUUAUGAAACCUGUGGGAAGCAGUUUAAAGAAAUUAUCACUUGUGUGUAUCAUAUAUUGUCCAUAGUGACAACUUACUAUGCUAGCUCUAUCAUCAAUUAUCCGGAAAUAUCGGGUGAGGCAGCCUCAAGACCAGGCGAUGGUCACUAUGGUCAAUGUCCUUUGGGUGAGACAUGCAGGUUGUCUGGGGGAUGGUCAACAUGCAGUUAUUGGGUAUUGGAACUCCCUGUUGAACAGUUUAUUAAAAUGGCAAGGAAUUGUGUUAGUCCCUACCCGGCAGAGUUUAGAAAUAAGUAAAGACUUUGUGAAGUUUACCAAAUUGUCGUUUUCAGAAAGUAAAAAGAAAAGGAGUACUAUCUUUAAAAUUAAGUGGAAUCAAUUAGGGUAAAAGAGGAAUUAUGCCUUUAAAUAGUUACCAAAUAAGGAAAGGUGACAUUCUUUUUGGGACAGAGGGAGUGCAAUUUAUCGAAAGAUGUAUGUAGAAAUGAUUUAAUAUUCUGAAAUGCCUUACAUAUCACAUGAAUAUGCUUAUUUCUUUUCAUUAUUGAUUUUAUGAAAUGUCACAGUUAUCAUAUAUCAUGUAUUUUAUGUAUCCCUAAAUUAUCGUUCCAACCUUAUUGGAAGGAGUCGAUGAUAGUUAUGGGGUACAAUUAUUGAUAUUGUCUUUGGUCUUCUUUUUGUGUUCAUUAUGUGACAUUACAAAUACCCUUGCUUUUGGUGGUGGCAAGACUGAGUUGGGUUCCUCCGCUCCUAUUUCAUCACUUAUGGUGAGCUCCCCAUCUUCAUCAUGAAAGCUACUUUAUAGUUGUCCAUUCUUAUGUAUAUCGUUAGAGGUUCCAUGACAUAUAUUGUGGGAGAUCUAGUUUGUAUGUAAGACUUCAUUGCCAUUACCGCUAUGGUCUUGUGUUAAACAUAUUCAGUUUUAAAGUUCAGAAUCUUUUGUUCAUUUUAUCAAGAGGACUUUAAAUGUUAUAAAGAAUUAUCUUAUCAUAUAGUUCAUGAAAGGGGUAUAUGGUCAUAGUGAUCCGCUUGAUGCUUGUCAAUGACAUUGGGUACCUGUCACGUGUAUACCCAUAUAUGGGGACAUGAUAUUUAUUGAUCAACUAGGUUGCUACAUCCAUCUCAUCUUCACCUUGUGACCGCUUGUUGCAUUGCUUUCAGGUCUCAUGAAAUCGGUCUGGAGCUUUAGGAACUCAGCUAGUAACAAUUCGUUAUCCGCUAUAUGUCCUUGAUCAUAUACCAAUUUCCUUCUGGCAUGGACCUUUUCUAAUGCUUUUCUGGUUUGAACUUUUUGUCAAUUAGAACCCGUGCAGUUUAGCAUUGUGGAUGGUGAUGCAAGUUUUAUCAGUGCCCUGUCUCAGGUGCUCAUGACUAUGGUUUUAUCUUUGCUAGAUAAUUGCUUGGCUCUGCCAGCAAGAGAUUUUCUCGGCACUCUUUUCAGUGUCGUUAUGUUGUUAAGUGUACUAGUUGAUCGAGGAACCACUCUUUGAAGGUCCUCGACCAAAUCUUGAUCCCUUUUGAUUCAUAUUAUCAUCUAGGCCUGAUUUUGCUAAUUAUCUAUGCUGGAAAAAAAUGCAUUGCCUUGUUCUUUUUGUGUAGAUGUUAUUGUCCCAGAUGGAAUUCUUGGACACAUUUACCUUCGACUAACUUUGUGUGUUAUCACUUACUCUCACUUGUUUUUAUUUGCUAUGUGACUAUGUCCUCUGUGUCUGCCAACUUAUUUUGUUUGCUUAUUGCUGUAGGUGCAUUUCGGUUACUAAGGAGGGUGGGGAUGAAGUGGGGUAGGGAGGGGGGGUGAUAAGUAGAUAGCCCGUGAGUUUGAUGUUUUUAGGGUAACUAACUGAAUACUAAUCACCUGAACAAGCAGUACAAAUCAGCUAACAACCACUGUCAGCUCAGUCUAGCGAAGGAUUUGAGCACCUACAACUAGGCAAGCUGCACCAUUUGCAUCCCUCUUCUUAAAAACUUGAUCCUGGUGAAUGUUUGGUCUAUAAACGGGAUCAAGUUUUUAAAAAAAGAUAUGCAAAUGGUGCACAGCUCUUUGCCACUACAACUAGGGAAGUUGCACAACUAGGCCAGCCAGCUGGUGGAAUCUUGAAGAGCUCAUGCAGAAGCAACUAUGAGUGCACUGAACCAGGAGACUUUUCUGAAGAAAAGCAAUUCGUUCAUGAAAACUGAUGCAGUUUUUUUUCUAUUCAGUUUCCACCUGUUCAAAAUCUGAUAGGCUAAUAAAAAAAAGACUGGAUAGGUGAGUUGAAAUCAGUAAAUAAAUUUUGUGCAAAAGGUAGAAUUGAGAAUGAUGUUUUGAGAGCAGAUGGUUGCCAUUGUGGGAGUAACAAGCCUAGGAUUUCACAGGAGUUAUCCAAUUUAGAAAUUUGGAAUAUGCUGGUGAAAAAGCUAGGAUGGAGAUCAGCAAGAAGCUUAAAGAAUGGAGCAAAACUGCUGCUUCUCAAACUUCAUCUAAGAAGGAAACGAAGUGCAAAUUAUCAAAAACAAUCCGAGAAAGGAUAAAACUGCUCUUGAUGUUGUGAUGAAUUCCAAAAUAUUAUAUGAGCAGGAAAAUUUGCCUGUCUUCAGUGCAAAUUAUCAAAAACAAUCCGAGAAAGGAUAAAACUGCUCUUGAUGUUGUGAUGAAUUCCAAAAUAUUAUGUGAGCAGGAAAAUUUGCCUGUCUUCAGUGCUCCUGUUGAUUAAGAAUCAGAAGCUAAAUCAAUGACCGUUCCUAAUCCAAACUUUCAUAAUUUUGACCAGGAUAGAAUGGUGAUGAUAAUCAGGUCUGGGUUGCUUAUGAUGGUGUUGAUGGCAUGCCGUGCUAUUGUGCUUAUAUCUAGAAAGCCAUUCAAAGUGUAAUUGAGCUGGUUGAACCGCAAAAACGACUCUGAGAGUAGGCCCAAUUAAUAGGGUUGGUUGUGGAUUCCUCAAGACCAGUGGAGAUUUCAGGAUAGGCAAGUGUGAAAUCAAUAAAACACUUCGGCUGGUCUAGUGGGUGAAAGGACCUAGAGGGGUUAUCCAAUUUUUUUCCAAGAAAGGGAGAUGUUUGGGCUCUAUAUAGGCAUUGGUCUCCUAAAUGGAAUGAGCUAACUCCGGAUGACAUGCUACACACAGCUAUGAUAUGGUGGAAGCGCUUGGCGACUACACUGAGAUGAAAGGUGUCACAGUUGCUCCCUUAGUCAAAGUAGCUGUCUUCACCAGCAUUUCUUCGGCAUUUGGACCCUAAAUAUCUUCUCCAUAUUCUAUCAGAAGAGAUGUUUCGCUUCCCUCAUCAGGUCCCUUCAUAUUUUCUCAGAGGCCGAGAAGCUCCAAAUGCUCCCACUGGUUGCUGGGAGUUGGAUCUUGCAGUCCUGCCCAUGGAACUUCUUGAAGUCAUUAUAGAUGCCUAAAUGGGGGCUCAGUGAAAAGUUGCAGAUACUUCAAAUUUUGAAAGGACAUGUGGUGAAAGCAAAGGAGUAGUCAUAUGUGGUUGGUGAUAGCAUUGUGACAAAGGGCGAAGAGACUCCCAAAGAUUCCACGAGUGUUGUCGAACAACCCAUAGUGACAUAUUUAAAAAGGAGGAGGAGAAGGCGGAAGCCAGUAUCAUUGAAGCCAAGAGAGAAACAAGCCCGGUUGCUGCUGAAGGCUUCUAGUCCGUGAUCAAAUGCAAGACUCCAAAGUGAAGGAGUAUUUCUGAUUUUCACAUCGAGUUCAAGUGUGUUAACUGCUUAGUAGCACUUGAAAAUUACUUGCUUGAAUUUGGGGUUUAGAUUAAACCAAACGAUUUGACUAUAAAUUAAACUGUAAAUAUUAAUCGACAAAAACUUAAAAAACGAUUGGACCUUUUUUUUUCUUU